rnacentral:ribozyme from 1 species
AAAACCUGCAACAACACAAAGACAAUAAAAAAGGAAAAAAACACAGCGAGUCAGAGAAAGGAGAGGAACAUCGAAGGCAAAGCUGUGAUACCGCUUUUUCUUCUUCCUGUUCCUCUUCUUCCUCUUCCUCUUCCUCCUCUUCCUCUUCUAUUCCUUCUUCCUCCUCCUCUUCUUCUAUUUCUUCUUCUCAAAAAAAGAAAGGAGU